rnacentral:ncRNA from 1 species
UGUCGUUAUUAUAAUAAUCCAUCAUAACACUCCAUUCAUUCGGAUAAUUUGUAUUUGGGCCUGCCUGAGCAGGCAAUGGCCCGAAGCUAUCAUCCGUUGGGUUAUGGCUGAACGCCUCUAAGUCAGAAUCCGUGCUAGAACGUGACGAUUACAGCCUUUUCCGAUUUUUAGUUGAACACGAAUAGAUCUCCGGAUCCUGAAUCAUACUACGUGGGGUUAUCUUGCAGAGCGGAAAGGCUUUGUGAGGUUCCUCCUAAUGUUAGUUUCAAAUAUUGGAAGAGAUAGAUCCAUUACAGACGAGUUUAAUUGAACGGGGCAUUGUAAGCAUUAGAGUAGCCUUGUUGCUACGAUCUGCUGAUAUUAAGCCCGUUGUUCUAUAGAUUU